rnacentral:rRNA from 1 species
GAUGAACGCUGACAGAAUGCUUAACACAUGCAAGUCAUUGGCGAAGCUGCGCUUGCGCAGUCUAGCCAAGGCGGACGGGUGAGUAACGCGUAAGGAACUUGCCCUGCAGACAGGGAUAACAGACGGAAACGACUGAUAACACCUGGUAUUGUCAGGCUGGCGCAUGCCGGCCUGAUGAAAGGAGACGCUGCAGGAGAGCCUUGCGUCCUAUUAGCUAGUUGGUGGGGUAACGGCCCACCAAGGCGAUGAUAGGUAGCCGGCCUGAGAGGGGGAACGGCCACAAGGGGACUGAGAUGCGGCACUUACGACUACGGGGGGCAGCAGGGGGGAAUAUUGGACAAUGGGGGCAACCCUGAUGCAGCAAUUCUGUGUGCACGAAGAAGGUUUUCGGAUUGUAAAGUGCUUUCAGCAGGGAAGAAGAAAGUGACGGUACCUGCAGAAGAAGCGACGGCUAAAUACGUG